AGGCCUAACACAUGCAAGUCGAACGGUAACAGGAAGCAGCUUGCUGCUUUGCUGACGAGUGGCGGACGGGUGAGUAAUGUCUGGGAAACUGCCUGAUGGAGGGGGAUAACUACUGGAAACGGUAGCUAAUACCGCAUAACGUCGCAAGACCAAAGAGGGGGACCUUCGGGCCUCUUGCCAUCGGAUGUGCCCAGAUGGGAUUAGCUAGUAGGUGGGGUAACGGCUCACCUAGGCGACGAUCCCUAGCUGGUCUGAGAGGAUGACCAGCCACACUGGAACUGAGACACGGNCCAGACUCCUACGGGAGGCAGCAGUGGGGAAUAUUGCACAAUGGGCGCAAGCCUGAUGCAGCCAUGCCGCGUGUAUGAAGAAGGCCUUCGGGUUGUAAAGUACUUUCAGCGGGGAGGAAGGGAGUAAAGUUAAUACCUUUGCUCAUUGACGUUACCCGCAGAAGAAGCACCGGCUAACUCCGUGCCAGCAGCCNANGGNAAUANAA
rnacentral:rRNA from 1 species